rnacentral:rRNA from 1 species
UACGUAGGGUGCAAGCGUUGUCCGGAAUUAUUGGGCGUAAAGGAGCUACGUAGGCGGUCUGUCGCGUCUGCUGUGAAAACUCAGGGCUUAACCCUGAGCUUGCAGUGGGUACGGGCAGACUAGAGUGCGGUAGGGGAGACUGGAAUUCCUGGUGUAGCGGUGAAAUGCGCAGAUAUCAGGAGGAACACCGGUGGCGAAGGCGGGUCUCUGGGCCGUAACUGACGCU